rnacentral:lncRNA from 1 species
CAUGGUUCCAGCAAUUCUAGUGCUGAUAUGUGUUUUAUCCUCAUCGUCAAGUUUGGCCAGACCAAAGUCAGAGAUCUUUGGGUUUAGUUUCUUGUCAAGAAGUACAUUUGUUGCUUUGAUGUCCCUAUGAACAAUUUUUAAUGACGAUUCCUCGUGUAGAAAAGCUAAGCCUUUUGCUAUCCCAAUGCAGAUUUUUUGCCUUGUUGGCCAGUCUAUUUGGAGACGAUGUUCUUCUGGACCUGCAUUUUAAUGAGAACUAAGAAUCUAUUCAUACCUUCUCUCAUUUUGAACUCUUUCAUGAAUUACGAACGAGCAAUAUUUCUUCUUAUUUCAUUAAGCUUAUUUUCUGUUUGACUUGUAAGUUGUAACUGAAAACAAUGAGCAAGGAUAGUAAAUUACCAAAUAAAGCACGGGCGAGGCUAUUGUUCUCCAAGUACUCAUACACCAAUAGAAGUUGAUUUCCUUCAGCACAACAUCCAUAUAGUUUGACAAGAUUUGGGUGCUGUAAACUAGAGAUCAUACCUAUCUCAUUCACAAACUCGCGGUUCCCUUGUUUUGAUUUGGAUGAAAGCUGCUUAACAGCAAUGACUGUACCAUCCAGUAGUGUACCCUGCUUAUUAAUUAAAAACAAAGAAGAAAUAAACAGGUCAUGGCUGUCUAUACAUGCAUAAAAAGCUAAUCCUUUUGCUAUCCCAAUGCAGAUUUUUUGCCUUGUUGGCCAGUCUAUUCGGAGACGAUGUUCUUCUGGACCUACAUUUUAAUGAGAAAUAAGAAUCUAUGCAUACCUUCUCUCAUUUUGAACUCUUUCAUGAAUUACGAACAAGCAAUAUUUCUUCUUAUUCCAUUAAGCUUAUUUUCUGUUUGACUUGUAAGUUGUAACUGAAAACAAUGAGCAAGGAUAGUAAAUUACCAAAUAAAGCACGGGCGAGGCUAUUGUUCUCCAAGUACUCAUACACCAAUAGAAGUUGAUUUCCUUCAGCACAACAUCCAUAUAGUUUGACAAGAUUUGGGUGGUGUAAACUAGAGAUCAUACCUAUCUCAUUUACAAACUCGCGGUUCCCUUGUUUUGAUUUGGAUGAAAGCUGCUUAACAGCAAUGACUGUACCAUCCAGUAGUGUACCCUGCUUAUUAAUUAAAAACAAAGAAGAAAUAAACAGGUCAUGGCUGUCUAUACAUGCAUAACAUCCACUUCUAGAUGUUGUAGCUAAACGAAAAAGGGUCAAGGUAAAUGGUUGUAGUGUGCCCUGCAGUGGAACAAUAAAAGGAACACCAGGAAUUAACAAGGUUCGACAAACUUUUGUUUUCUUUUGCCUACUCCUCGGACACAACCAACCAAUAUUUAUUUCACUCCAAAAGAGUACAAGUGAAAUACUACAAGAGAGAAAGAAGAUCAAAUGCCUUUGAAGAUGAGAAGGCAAGUGAGAUUAGGAACUACCUAUUUAUAGGAGUGAAUUCUUCCUAUUGAUGUCAUCCAUGACAUCACAAUGUGUCAAAAUGUCAAGAUUUACCUUGUGAAACCAUUUUAUGGUUCACCUAAAUUUCACCUACAAAAGAUGUUAUCUUGACUUUUGAACCAAUGAAGAAUUAUCUUCCUAACUACCAAAUCUUCACAUUAAUUCAUCUUUGAAUCUUGUCAAAUUUAACAUUUGUUGCUUUGAUGUCCCUAUGAACAAUUUUUAAUGACGAUUCCUCGUGUAGAAAAGCUAAGCCUUUUGCUAUCCCAAUGCAGAUUUUUUGCCUUGUUGGCCAGUCUAUUUGGAG